rnacentral:lncRNA from 1 species
UAUUCUUCAGAUUUGAUGUUGCUGCUGGUGCUGGAGCCUCAAAAAGAACCUGUGAAGCUGGUUGCUACUGUUCAACAGUUCAGAAUUAAAAUAGUUGUUACUGUACAACUGCAUUAUUGCACCCCUUCUUGUCGUAGCCUCUACAUGAGGUGAGCCCUUCUUGUCGUAGCCUCUACAUGAGGUGAGUUUCAAAGUUGGUGUAUGAACUGAUGAAAUUAGCGAUAAUCAAUGUUCACAUGUGCUAUUGAGUUAUUUUUGCACACCGUUUGGCAGUUAUCAUGCUUAUUACUAUCCUACAAAAUUAUUAUCCCAUCUUUUGUAUUUAUGCCAGAUCGAAGCUAACUGCCUGGGGAGCACAAAAGCGAAUGAAUCAUGCUAAUAACAGGUUGUAUUUUGGCAGUUCUCAUCUGGACUUCCACCUAGACCAACUGCAUGACAUGUAGAAUACCAAAAUUAUAACCAGG